GGUGCCUCAGUGGUUAAAGUACUUGGCUGCUAACCAAGUGGUGGAUGGUUCAAACCCACCAGCUGCCA
rnacentral:tRNA from 1 species